rnacentral:rRNA from 1 species
GACGAACCGUGCGAACGUUGUUCGGAAUCACUGGGCUUAAAGGGCGCGUAGGCGGGUCAUCAAGUCAGGGGUGAAAUACUUCGGCUUAACCGGAGAAGUGCUUUUGAUACUGGUGACCUCGAGGGGUGUAGGGGCAUGUGGAACUUCCGGUGGAGCGGUGAAAUGCGUAGAUAUCGGAAGGAACGCCGGUGGCGAAAGCGACGUGCUGGACACCUUCUGACGCUGAGGCGCGAAAGCCAGGGGAGCGAACGGG